ACCGCUCAGUUUACAAUCAGGGAUUCAAGACAUUGCAUUUAAAUAGGCGGCAACCCUUAGGAUUUUGCAAAAGUGAAAGUCACUAUUGGAACAUUCGUUAAUUUUAAAAUCCAGCCUAUUCUUAAACCCUCCAUAAGCAGCAGUGCACCAAUUAUAGGCUGGUUGAUCAGAAACCGUAUCAUUAGUAGACACCGAAACUAAAGCAAACAAUGGGCACAUCAAAGGGAAUGGAGGCAAACAUCCAACCACCCAUACCAACCCACAGGCCCCAUCCACUGAAUAUUUAUAAUAUUUUGCACCACUUCACAGGCUUUCAGGUUUUUGUACCCCACCUUCCAGUUGGAAAAUGUGGCAAUGCGACAUAAAAACUGCUUUUUGCAAUUUACAUCAACAUUUUUAUCACCCCACCACCCACCGGCACAUCCACCACCGACAACCUUCAAGGAGUACAGCAACAACAACACGCUUUUCCUAUUUGCAUACAUAUCCUCCUGCGUCUUUUUGCGCACUUAAUUACACACGCAUACGCUUCAUUCCACUUUGCGGUGCUGCUUGUCUAGCAUUCGAGCCACCCAACCAGCCAAACCACCCACCCAACCAGCCACCCACUGGAGGACAGGACUUCGCUUCCAUCUGCGAACCACCGCGGUGGGACAGGCCCACUACGGAAAUAGACACACUCCGGAGGAAAAAUCGUACAAAAUGGAGGUCAUCACUGUAAUCCCAAUCGAUAAUGCAAAUUAACAAGGAGCAAGCCAACCUAUGAACUUAAAUAUGGAGGAUUAGUUAUUAGUGCAAAAUUAUAUAUAUAAAUAUGUGG
rnacentral:sRNA from 1 species